rnacentral:rRNA from 1 species
CUACGGGAUGCAGCAGUGAGGAAUAUUGCACAAUGGGGGGAACCCUGAUGCAGCAACGCCGCGUGGAGGAUGACGCAUUUCGGUGUGUAAACUCCUUUUAUAUGUCAAGAAAAUGACGGUAGCAUAUGAAUAAGCACCGGCUAACUCCGUGCCAGCAGCGCGCGGUAAUACGGAGGGUGCAAGCGUUACUCGGAAUCACUGGGCGUAAAGGACGCGUAGGCGGGUUGGAAAGUCAGGUGUGAAAUCCUACAGCUUAACUGUAGAACUGCACUUGAAACUUCUAAUCUAGAGUAUGGGAGGGGGAGAUGGAAUUAGUGGUGUAGGGGUAAAUCCGUAGAUAUCACUAGGAAUACCUAAAGCGAAGGCGAUCUCCUGGAACAUUACUGACGCUAAGGCGUGAAAGCGUGGGGAGCAAACAGGAUUAGAUACCCCGGUAGUC